CGCUGCUAGAGCCAAGCUGUCUGCUGGAGAUUCCUUAUGUAUAUAAUCUCCCCCGCCGGAUCUCUUACGAGGCUCGGCUGGGGAAGCCACAGACCUCUGCUGCUUCGUCUUCUCGUUCCUCAGGUUGUGUUCUAGUGCGAUAAUCGAUGACGGAACUUGUUUAGAGAUCAAAAGUUGAUAGAAUACAUGACAAAGAUCAAAACUUGCGGAUGAGUACAAACUUACAGCUGUUUUUUUUCAAGGUGUAAGAUAGAAGGUAAUUGAUAACAAGAAUUUGACACAUCCUGAUAAUCGCCGCCAUUUUGUUCCUGAUAUUUAGUACGAAUACGAGUUGAAAUCAUAUAUUCAAUUGAUGAUAUUGAUAAUAAAGAAUGUAUAGAAGUGAUGAGAGAAACACGACAACCUCGAUAAUGCAUGAUACGUGGUCAUAAAAGUGAUCAACCUUCCAGAAAUAUCUUGAAGCUCUUUCAAAACAAGAUGCUGUAAGUAAUUAAAUAUAUUUUUUAUCCUGCACGUGACGCUGCAGAUGGAUUUAUGCUGAAAUAAUUGAUGGAAAAAAUUUUAUGUUGGAGAAUCAAGCUGGCUCGCAUCCGCUAAGGAAUGUGGUCCGCGUCGUGGAAUCUGCGCGCAAGCAGGCAAGGAUACGGGGCCGCAGAGCGAGUCUGAUGGUGGCCGAUUGCCACGGUGGAACGCGCGGGAGCACGCAUACACAUACACGCAACGUCAUCGUCGAAAAUAAUCAGACAAAUCUUUCACGAUAUAAGAAUGACAAUUAACUUAAUAAGUGUUAUAUGAAUGUAGAAGAAAACAUGUUACGCAAAAUUUAUAUGCAGGAUAUAUGUGAAAAUGGAUGUAGGUUCUUACCUAUAGCUAGCCGUGAGUCCGAAGCCUAAACAGCCACGGCAUCUCAGCGUGUCCAUACAACGUGAAAACUCUUUGGUUGGCCGUAGCCAAAGCACUUAUAUCACCGACACAAACCACCAUUCACGCGUUUAAUCAAGUCUGGAUCAAGUGUAGAAUAAUCAAAGAAUCAAAUUGAUCUAUUUGAAGAUGAAGUGUUAACGUUGAUUGAACACUGGAUAUACCGAUGAGAUAAAUGUAUAAUUCAACUAUUCACUGUUAUUAAUAAUGAAGGUAAGCACAUCACUACGAAAAUGUCACGAUGAGAAUGAAGACGACAGUAAGAAGAGUCGUCCGACACGGUUGAUAGGCGUCGUGUGACUACUGGUUGCUGCUCAGGAGCAAGCGCCAAGGAGCCUUCCUCGCGCUCACCACGAUUACCGUCCCCGCCGGUACGGACUGUCGUACGCAAGAUGGAGCAAUUCCCCUACUGAACCGUAGAGAGCGUCGAUUCAUAAGUACACGCGCUCAUUUGGACAGGGCCGCUCCAAAUGGACUAUGGGCCCCGACCAUGGUCCCUUUUAUCCCCUCCAUUAAGCUCUUCCACCUGCUAAGUUUAAAAGAAAGCCCUCCUCCUAGGCGCACUUAUGCUAUUUCCACCACUUGGAGUCCUCGCUUUCUUUCCCCCCACUGUGGUAUUUUACCUGCGCCAAAGUAUCAUAGUUAUCUUCUUCAGCUGGUUGAAGGAUGGUCCAUUUCACUUGACUCGCAUGACUAAAUGAUGAAACGAAUAAAAUGUUGGAGAAGGAUAACAAGGGAAUACGAGAAAUGCUACUAGCUUGGCUGACCGGUCUUCCUGCCGCGCGCCAUGCUGUCUGCCCGAUUCCUGCAUACUUCCCACUUGGCAAUUGGAUAUUUUACGCCAUUUCCGCUUGACAACUCAAUCACACUGGAGAUUUCAUGGAGAUGCCCACGCGUUUCCUUCCACAAGACUGCAAAUGCGGCUAAUAAAUGACCUGAGAGACUGCGGACAAUGAAAAAUGAUAGAGUGAGAAAUCUAGAUGCAGCAACUGAACAAUCAUUAUCGUACUACGGUUGUUCGCUUCCAAUUAUUAUUUCUGCAAACUAUAACACGUUUCGACAUGCUGAAGAAGAAUGAUUUCCUCUCCACGAAUCCAUCUGAGAUUAUAUGCAAUUUCCGCUCUGCCAAUAACAGACUUGGUCGGAAGUUGAAAAAUUCUAAAUUAAAUUCUAUCAUCGCAAUAAAUGCUAUCGAGCACCCUGUGGGUUGUGAAAAAAAAGAAAAAGAAGAAGAGAAUGUGUCCUCUAGCUUGUAAAGGGGGUUGAGGGGGUCAUGAUGGAGAAGCAGAAGAAGAACCGGCCGAAGAACUACAGAGAGCAGAGACGACAGGAGUGGCGGUGAGGAACAAGGUAGAAGAUAUCGUGCCGGUUAGUGCUCCGCCCCAGCUUCAGGGUCGUCUUAAUUACCGGGUGGUCCAGUUCGGAACCCCAUAAAUAUUUCGUGCUGCGGCGCUCUUUCCUUAGAGACCCCAGAACUCUUCAGAAACUAUCUUUAGUGAAUAAGCAACAGUAUCCUAGACUCUAGCAAGAAUAUGAGAAAGAUAUAGAUAUACUUGAGAUCCUCAUCCAAGCUUUCACAGUCGCUUCUAUAUAUAAUUCCAUCAUUAGAUUGGCUCUUUGUAUUUUGACUUCCACCGCCAGAUGAACAACCGGAUGAGAUCCAGCUCUUUCAACGUUCCAUUCUCAUCCAAGCUGGGAGCCACCAAGUCUACCGAAAGUUAGUCAUCUUGUACAUUAAAGAAUAAAAAGAAGGAGAAACGAAAAAAAGAGAAUAUGAUUGAUUUUUAUCUUAUUUUCGGCGUUAUCAAAAGAAAAAUGAGCCGUAGCACUAAAAGAGGAUUAGUAGUUUUUUUUUCUCUAUUUUCUCAGGUAUAUUUGAAAGAUAACAAGGAUCCUCGACCACGUCACCCUGCUUCAAACUGGGUAGAGGCCUCCUACGCUGCAUAGUCGGCAGAAUGUCUUUUGCAUGAGUCACAUAGGACAUCUCUAUUAUGUGCUCAAUUCGCCAAAAUUUAUUAUAACUUUAACAGAUUUAUAUCUCAUAUACUUUUCCACGUAUAUUGAAUCAAUCCUUGUCUUAUCUCUCUUCUUUAGAAUAUUUUUCUUCUUUUUACGACCCGCCCACAUGCGAACAGCCUAAAACAAUGGCCAUUACUACCAAUUUUCGAUGAGCUGUCAUCAACCACCCACAGGCAUAUAAGAGUAAGACGAGGGAGCUAGGGAACUAUCAUUUGUGUGGUCUGGCCAGCGGAAUAAAGAGAGACAAAUGAAAAAAAAAAAGAGAAAGACCACCUUCGUAGAAGCCACUUUACUCUCGCGAGAACAGAGAACGUUCUCUCUUUCUCUCUCUAUUUCGAAAUUCUUCGCGGACCGAGUGGGGUCAGCAUGAGAACCAAAGAUGUAAAUUCCCACCGAGUCCACUUGCGUUGCUCGUUCAUCAAAUGGAUUAGAAAUUAAUAAUCAAUGUUCUUUAGUCAUUUAUAUUUACUUGGAAGAGAAAAAAUAACCAUAAUUGACGUAAAUAUCAUUAGUAAUUACCUUUUUAAAUUUUAUUGCAGAAAACUGAUUAAGUAUUCCUUAAAAAAAAAAUAUCAACUGAGCUGUUAUUCAGACACCUGAUGGCAACUCAUUGUGCAAGGCGUAAUUAUGUAACUUCAACUUGUAAGUGUGUGCGCUGUAAAUUUCCAAUACAUAACUUAAGGACUCUAAAGAAAAUCGUAUAAUACGUCAUAAAGUUCUACGAAGACAAAAGUAGAAAAACCUGUACCUUAGAAAUAAUGCAUACAUUAUCAAUGUUAUUUAAAAUAUGUGCAUUGCUCAUGUUUCUCAUCAUUAACUUCAGCACGUCUUCAGAACAUAUUAUGUCCAUUCCCAGCAGAUGAAGUUUAUUUCAAAUUAAAAUGGUUAAGUACCAAGAACAGUAAUGUUAUACGCUAAGCUAAUUUCCAAUAGGAAUGAAUUAAAUUCAAUGAUUGGAGAUAAUAAUAGAAUGAAUUUUAUGAUGUGAAAUCUCAACUGGAAAAAAAUACUCAAAAUUGGUUUAAUGGAAGCAGUUUGCAAAUAUAAUGAAGAAAAAGUGUUACGUUGAAAAUUUAUUCGAUAAAAGACAUACAUAGUAUUGGAGCCAGAUAUAGCUGAUGCGAUCUAAUGAGCACCCUCACCUGUUCAUCUACACAUGUAACAGCCAGCUGUACGCAGUAAGAACGACCUAGCGGACAAGUAAACAGGUUGAUAUAUGUACCUUAUUCCUAUAUAUAGCCACAUCUCUCGUCUCCCGGAAACUUGUUUCUUCUCAUCGUGACGAGGUAUCUCAGAGGAACAUUGAAUUUCACUCAUACAUGUGAAUAAAUUGAUUCUCAGACAGUAUCAUUGAUUCAAUCAACAUGCAUGCUGAAGAUGGAUUAAGGUAGUUGUUAGAAGAAUGCGUGAGUGAUCAAUGUUAAUAAGACCACAUUCGAAAGACUUGUGAGAGUAUAGAGGUAAGCAAGACUCUGGAACUUGGCACUUUUGGUACGCGGCAGACAGCGCGUCGCCCAAUCUCCACAGGCAACUUCUGUACUCGUACCAGUGUUAACUAGUGGCUCAAUCCGAUCAUUCCAUUUUAAACCAACUGAAAAACUAGAAAAGUCUUCCUAACUUUGACUCCUUAAUAGUCAUUAAAAUCAAUGUAGAAUUAAAGUCUCGCCAAAACUAUUAAGUCUAAUCCAGCGGAUUAAACACUAAACUCAGUUAGUAAAAACUUUUGUUAUAAACGUAGUUCCUAUGACCUCAUAUACAUUAUCAUGAUAUCUUAAACAGCUGGAAAAAGCUUCAGAAAUAGAUUCACAUGCCGCCAGAAUUAUGUCUGAAUAUUGGAAUAUUCUCAGAAGUUGAUGUUUAUCAUUUCAAGAAAUAAAUUUGACUGCGCAAAAUAUCCAUUUAUAAUACAAAAGAAGUUGAUAUUUUGACGUUAAUUUUCCUUUGUUAGCUAUUGGUUUUACGUAGAAAAUUAUUCGCUUCUGUAGAACAAUUCAUUUAAAUAAAAUAAAACUGAA
rnacentral:lncRNA from 1 species